GAGCGCCCCGCAAGGGGAGCGGCAGACGGGAGAGUAACACGUGGGAACGUGCCCUUUGGUUCGGAACAACACAGGGAAACUUGUGCUAAUACCGGAUAAGCCCUUACGGGGAAAGAUUUAUUGCCAAAGGAUCGGCCCGCGUCUGAUUAGCUUGUUGGUGAGGUAACGGCUCACCAAGGCUACGAUCAGUAGCUGGUCUGAGAGGAUGAUCAGCCUCACUGGGACUGAGACACGGCCCAGGCUCCUACGGGAGGCAGCAGUGGGGAAUAUUGGACAAUGGGCGCAAGCCUGAUCCAGCCAUGCCGCGUGGAUGAUGAAGGCCUUAGGGUUGUAAAGUCCUUUCGGCGGGGAAGAUAAUGACGGUACCCGCAGAAGAAGCCCCGGCUAACUUCGUGCCAGCAGCCGCGGUAAUACGAAGGGGGCUAGCGUUGCUCGGAAUCACUGGGCGUAAAGCGCACGUAGGCGGCUUUCUAAGUCAGAGGUGAAAUCCUGGAGCUCAACUCCAGAACUGCCUUUGAUACUGGAGAGCUUGAGUCCGGGAGAGGUGAGUGGAACUGCGAGUGUAGAGGUGAAAUUCGUAGAUAUUCGCAAGAACACCAGUGGCGAAGGCGGCUCACUGGCCCGGUACUGACGCUGAGGUGCGAAAGCGUGGGGA
rnacentral:rRNA from 1 species